CUCCCCCUUUUGUAUUGUGAAUAAACCAUAUGUUAGCAGAUAGCCAUGCAUGUCUAAGUAUAGCAAUUUAUACCGUGAAACUGCGAAUGGCUCAUUAAAUCAGUUAUCGUUUAUUUGAUAGUACCUUACUACUUGGAUAACCCGUGGUAAUUCUAGAGCUAAUACAUGCUAAAAACCCCGACUUCGGGAGGGGUGUAUUUAUUAGAUAAAAAACCAACGCCCUUCGGGGCUCCUUGGUGAAUCAUAAUAACUUAACGGAUCGCAUGGCCUUGCGCCGGCGACGGUUCAUUCAAAUUUCUGCCCUAUCAACUUUCGAUUGUAGGGUAUUGGCCUACAAUGGUAUCAACGGGUAACGGGGAAUUAGGGUUCGAUUCCGGAGAGGGAGCCUGAGAAACGGCUACCACAUCCAAGGAAGGCAGCAGGCGCGCAAAUUACCCAAUCCCGACACGGGGAGGUAGUGACAAUAAAUACUGAUACAGGGCUCUUUUGGGUCUUGUAAUUGGAAUGAGUACAAUUUAAAUCCCUUAACGAGGAACAAUUGGAGGGCAAGUCUGGUGCCAGCAGCCGCGGUAAUUCCAGCUCCAAUAGCGUAUAUUAAAGUUGUUGCAGUUAAAAAGCUCGUAGUUGAACCUUGGGUCUGGCUGGCCGGUCCGCCUCACCGCGUGCACUGGUCCGGCCGGACCUUUCCUUCUGGAGAACCGCAUGCCCUUCACUGGGUGUGUCGGGGAACCAGGACUUUUACUUUGAAAAAAUUAGAGUGUUCAAAGCAGGCCUUUGCUCGAAUACAUUAGCAUGGAAUAAUAGAAUAGGACGUGCGGUCCUAUUUUGUUGGUUUCUAGGACCGCCGUAAUGAUUAAUAGGGAUAGUCGGGGGCAUCAGUAUUCAAUUGUCAGAGGUGAAAUUCUUAGAUUUAUUGAAGACUAACUACUGCGAAAGCAUUUGCCAAGGAUGUUUUCAUUAAUCAGUGAACGAAAGUUAGGGGAUCGAAGACGAUCAGAUACCGUCGUAGUCUUAACCGUAAACUAUGCCGACUAGGGAUCGGGCGAUGUUAUUCUUUUGACUCGCUCGGCACCUUACGAGAAAUCAAAGUUUUUGGKUCUGGGGGGGAGUAUGGCCGCMAGCUGAACUAGUAGAAUAUGUUACUUUGGACGAAGAGCUCU
rnacentral:rRNA from 1 species